AUACCCAUGGGCUGUAAACACCGGUUCUCAUCCGAUCACUGAAGUUAAGCAACGUCGGGCCUGGUUAGUAUUUAGAUGGUGGGAGGAAAACGGGUGUUGUA